CCUUACCCGGGCUUGAACUGCAACGGAAGGAUACAGAGAUGUUGACGUCCUUCGGGACCGCUGUGGAGGUGUUACAUGGUUGUCGUCAGCUCGUGCCGUGAGGUGUCGGCUUAAGUGCCAUAACGAGCGCAACCCUUUUCAUCAGUUGCCAUCAGGUGAUGCUGGGCACUCUGUUGAUACUGCCACCGUAAGGUGUGAGGAAGGUGGGGAAGACGUCAAAUCAGCACGGCCCUUACGUCCGGGGCUACACACGUGUUACAAUGGGGCAUACAGAAGGCAGGAUCAUGGCAACAUGGUUCAAAUCUUUAAAGUGCUCCUCAGUUCGGAUGGGGUCUGCAACCCGACCCCAUGAAGCGGAUUCGC
rnacentral:rRNA from 1 species